rnacentral:rRNA from 1 species
CCCUUAGAUGUUCUGGGCCGCACGCGCGCUACACUGACGAAUGCAACGAGCUUAUAACCUUGGCCGAAAGGUCUGGGUAAUCUCCAAAUUUCGUCGUGAUGGGGAUAGAUUAUUGCAAUUAUUAAUCUUCAACGAGGAAUGCCUAGUAAGCGCAAGUCAUCAGCUUGCGUUGAUUACGUCCCUGCCCUUUGUACACACCGCCCGUCGCACCUACCGAUUGAAUGGUCCGGUGAAAUCUCGGGACGGCGGCUUGGUCGCUUGCGUCCGACUGCUGAAACUUGAUUAAACCAUAUCAUUUAGAGGAAGGUGAANUCGUAACA